rnacentral:rRNA from 1 species
GACGAACGCUGGCGGCGUGCUUAACACAUGCAAGUCGAGCGGUAAGGCCCUUUCGGGGUACGACGAGCGGCGAACGGGUAGGAGUAACACGUGGGUGGACCUCGCCCUCCAGCUCUGGGAGUAAGCCUCGGGAAACCGGGGUACGUAAUACCGGAUAUGACUCCAUGACGCAUGUUGUGGGGUGGAAAGCCUUGUGCGGCUGAGGAUGGGCCCGCGGCCUAUCAGCUUGUUGGUGGGGUGAUGGCCUACCAAGGCGACGACGGGUAGCCGGCCUGAGAGGGCGACCGGCCACACUGGGACUGAGACACGGCCCAGACUCCUACGGGAGGCAGCAGUGGGGAAUCUUGCGCAAUGGGCGAAAGCCUGACGCAGCGACGCCGCGUGAGGGAUGACGGCCUGGUGU